rnacentral:rRNA from 1 species
ACGGGGUCAGCAGGCGCGAAACCUCCGCAAUACACGAAAGUGUGACGGGGUUACCCAAAGUGUUCAAUUUUGAACUGUGGUAGGUGAGUAAUGCUCCCUACUAGAAAGGAGAGGGCAAGGCUGGUGCCAGCCGCCGCGGUAAAACCAGCUCUUCAAGUGGUCGGGAUAAUUAUUGGGCUUAAAGUGUCCGUAGCCGGUUUAGUAAGUUCCUGGUAAAAUCGGGUAGCUUAACUAUCUAUAUGCUAGGAAUACUACUAUACUAGAGGGCGGGAGAGGUCUGAGGUACUACAGGGGUAGGGGUGAAAUCUUAUAAUCCUUGUUGGACCACCAGUGGCGAAGGCGUCAGACUGGAACGCGCCUGACGGUGAGGGACGAAAGCCAGGGGAGCGAACCGGAUUAGAUACCCGGGUAGUCCUGGCCGUAAACGAUGCAUACUAGGUGAUGGCACGGCCAUGAGCCGUGUCAGUGCCGUAGGGAAACCGUUAAGUGUGCCGCCUGGGAAGUACGGUCGCAAGGCUAAAACUUAAAGGAAUUGGCGGGGGAGCACCACAAGGGGUGAAGCCUGCGGUUCAAUUGGACUCAACGCCGGAAAACUUACCAGGGGAGACAGCAGUAUGACGGUCAGGUUGACGACCUUACCUAACGAGCUGAGAGGAGGUGCAUGGCCGUCGCCAGUUCGUGCCGUGAGGUAUCCUGUUAAGUCAGGCAACGAACGAGAUCCGCACCUUUAUUUGCCACCAAGAAGUCACGACUUCGUUGGGAACACUAAAGGGACCGCCGUCGAUA